AUAAAGGUUUGGUCCUAGCCUUACUAUCAACUGUUUCUCAAUUUACACAUGCAAGUCUCAGCACGCCCGUGAGAACGCCCUUUCAACCUUUACCAGGCCAAGGAGCUGGCAUCAGGCUCAACCUUCUGCCCAUAACGCCUAGUCUCACCACACCCCCAAGGGUAUUCAGCAGUGAUAAAUCUUGCGUAUAAGCGACAGCUUGACUCAGUUAGAGAAAAGAGGGCCGGCUAACCCGGUGCCAGCCGCCGCGGCUACACCGUGGGGCCCGAGCUGAUAGCCAUCGGCGUUAAGCGUGAUUAAAGUUCCCACCAACUAGGAUUAAAUUAACACUUAGUAGUGAUAAGCUUGCUGUUAAGAAAAUCAUAAACGAAAGUUAUCCUAAUUAUGCUUGAAUACACGACAACUA
rnacentral:rRNA from 1 species